CAUAACGCAGAUUCAAUUUUUCGAAAUGGAGGGAAAAAAAACAAAAAGCAAAAAGAAAAAAUCCAAAAAAUUGGGCCAAAAAAUUUUCUUUGCGGAAUUGGCAAAUGAUUUUUCACCCAAAAGACGAUGAGACGCGAUUUUUUUUUUUACAUUGCAUUUCAGAGCCAAUUUUCUUGGAGAAGGUCCUAAAGACAGGGCAUUUCAGAGCCUAUUU
rnacentral:ribozyme from 13 species